UGGGGAAUUUUGGACAAUGGGCGAAAGCCUGAUCCAGCAAUGCCGCGUGUGUGAAGAAGGCCUUCGGGUUGUAAAGCACUUUUGUCCGGAAAGAAAUCCUUGGCUCUAAUACAGUCGGGGGAUGACGGUACCGGAAGAAUAAGCACCGGCUAACUACGUGCCAGCAGCCGCGGUAAUACGUAGGGUGCAAGCGUUAAUCGGAAUUACUGGGCGUAAAGCGUGCGCAGGCGGUUUGCUAAGACCGAUGUGAAAUCCCCGGGCUCAACCUGGGAACUGCAUUGGUGACUGGCAGGCUAGAGUAUGGCAGGAGGGGGGUAGAAUUCCACGUGUAGCAGUGAAAUGCGUAGAGAUGUGGAGGAAUACCGAUGGCGAAGGCAGCCCCCUGGGCCAAUACUGACGCUCAUGCACGAAAGCGUGGGGAGCAAACAGGAUUAGAUACCCUGGUAGUCCACGCCCUAAACGAUGUCAACUAGUUGUGGGGAUUCAUUCCUUAGUAACGUAGCUAACGCGUGAAGUUGACCGCCUGGGGAGUACGGUCGCAAGAUUAAAACUCAAGGAAUUGACGGGGUCAUAGCUG
rnacentral:rRNA from 1 species